UAAGAAAUUGUGGCGGAUCAGGUGGCCCCAUAAACGUUCCGCCGUCGGGAUUUAACGGAACGGAGAUGCGUGGAGCAUCUUGUCCGCAAUAAUUGAUGUACAACAUCGUGUACAUCAAUGUGUGAUGCAACGUGCGCCAUUUUAAGCAGCGUGCUCGUUCUCCAGCGGAUAUCGGUUGUCGCGUCGUAUCGCGAGGAAGGCAGAGACGGCGAAAUAACAGCCACACCCGCGUCGGAGUUCGCAUAAGCGAUGAAUCGAGAGAGGCCGGCGUCGUAAUAAACAGUUUCGCGCAAGGUGUAGACGGGACGCUUGCGCCUUAAGACGAAUAUUUCUUGGCAAUACUUCAAUAAUAUCCGUCUCGCGGAGCCUUUGAUAUUUUAACAAAAUUGGAUAGAUGUCUCAAGAUGAUAGUGAUACUUAGGCAACGCCGAGGAUGUCAACUUCAGAAAUAUUUGAGGGCAAGACAUGACGCAAUAUUGCGGAAGUAAACAUCCUUAUUUAUAGUGGCGAGAUGCGUGAAUUAGAGUGGAGAAUUGGAGUAGGAAUAAAACAGAAUAACGUAUGCAGUCAGCUAAGAAAUCUAUAGGUAAACCGAUGACCCGAAGCGACGGUGUAACGAAGACAUUUUCGGGGAAAAGGAUUUCGGUGGAAUGAGAGGCGUGCGAAAUACAAAGGGACAAUGGACAUCCCUGCGUCUUCCGGUUUUUCCAUUGGCUACGGCAUGAUACCUGCUUGCAGUCCGAUAUUGUUCUAGGAACUGGCAGGAAGUCCAAGAGUGCAUUCUUCUCGAGAAGAAUAAUAUUUCACACAAUCAUAUCCUGUGCAUACUUCCUUCAUUUUAUAAUCAUCGCCGCUUAAUUUUUCCUCGACGCGGAAUCGGCGAGCGUUAAAUUCAGUUUAAUUAUUUUCACGCAUUCGCGCGUGGGUUUUACGCGUUUACGCGUGGGCAGGGUUAAGAACCUCCGAGUACCGGGAAGGGAAGUUUUUCCUGGUGCUCAUCGGCAUCGCCAGGAAACGACUCAAACGACACGAGGCAUGGAGCGGUAUAUCCUCAUUGGUUCCCCCGCCGCUGCCGGGAAGAGAGUUUAGGAGUUUAGGGCCGAAAGAGUUAAAUGUACUACGCGCGUCUUCCUUCGGCAGGUUCACCCACAAGCAAGCGAAUGCCUCGACUCACUCGCUCGCACGAUCACUCUGCCACCCGAGAAACGGAAUGUGGACGCCAUAUGGUCGGGGUCUUCGCCCAACCAAUCAACCAACCAACAAACCAACCAACCGACCAAUCGACCGACCGACCAACCACCCACUCGUUCCAUAAGACGUGAUAUUUGCGAGAAAGUUUAUAUAUCUGCCCCGCGAUCGUCUCCCUCGACACGUGUGUAUGCGUGAGAGCGUGUGUCAGUUAUAUGUCGGACCGUGUCCCGUUUUUUGCGUAUUCUCCUGAGCAGGGACGAACCUACACGAGAUAUCUCGGAUACGAGUAAGAACAAGCAGGCCGAUAUUUCGUCUCGGAUUUCUCCGGGACGACCUUAUUGUCGUUGAAAUCGAAAAAGAGAGGCGUAACCAUCGAGUUGUUUGACGAAAACCUGCGUACAGAUACGAGUCUGGCUGUCUGGCGAGCGGAAGUAUAACUCUAGAUAAGCGGAUUCCUUUGACAUAACGGCUUAAGGUUAUCGGAUUAUUAUAACAGAAAUAUAUGGAUAGGAAAUCAUUACAGCAUACGGAAAUGUAUAAAGUACGGAAAUAAAAUCAAGAAACAUCUGGCGUUAAUUAUUGUUACUGUUUAGAUUUUAAAAAAACGUUUGAGUUUUAUUAUUGAGAAAUUCA